CAGCCAUCGGAAAGCAGACGCCACGAGGAGCCGGGGCCGGACGCCUCUUGCUGGGUGCGCGUGCUCUCUGUGCGUGUGUCCUGACGCAGACGGUGACGCGCGGAGGCGGGAGACGCUGCCCACAGAUUCCUGUCUGACACACGGCGCUGUUACCGCUGCUGAUCUGCUGCGUGAAGGCAGUGAAUCAUUACAAUAACCUUCAUCAUCAUCAUCAUCAUCAUCAUGAACGGCAGCAGAGUGACGGUCACCCUCGUCAGCUUUGGCAGCAUCUUCACGCCCAUGACUGCAUGUCGCCCAGUUCUCUGCCUCGCUCGUCUCUCCAGCGUCGGUCUCUCUGUGUUUAGAGUGGUUUCCAUCAGAGCCGUGUUCUUUCAACAGGCUGAGACGCACUUUUUAAGAGAGGCGUCCAGGGAAUGGCAUUUCAAAUCCAUUAUUGACCUUUGACCCUUUAUAUGAAUAAUAACCAGCCUGUGAGAUAGCAGGACCCCUCAAAUCCAUCAAAUUAUAAAUACUUCAUUUGCCUACAGAAUACACAGCAUGCAUAGAGAUAUAUUGACAUUGACU